AUCUGUGCAGAAUGGAAUAUACAAACGUGUUGUAUAAUUAAUUAAGAUAAGUAUUGUUUUUUAAUGAAUAAAUAAAUAAGUAAAUAAAUAGUUUAAUUAUUUUAAUGCGAAUUAAUUUUUUUUUCAGGUUUAAAUUAUAGGUGCAAAAUAUGACAGUAAGAAGAAGAAGAAAAUUAAAUUGUGCAUUGAGGUUAAAAAUUCCAACCAUACGUCAAGUCAUAAUAAAUUUGACACAUACCAUAAGGGAACGAGCGACACCAGUUCGGAAAAUUAAUUAGGAUAAAUAUUGUCUUGGAAUUUUAUUUUGAGGUUCAAGUAUUUAACGAUGGGAAUUUGUAACUGACAAGAGUGCGCAAUUAAUCAAUGUCGGAAUAUUGAGAAAUAAAGAUGUCUUCAAAUUUACGUUCUCACAUUAAUUGACAUAGUGAAUGAAAAUUUAGUACUCCAAUUACAGAUUUAUUGAUAAUUUUUAUUUAUUCUAAUUUAUUAUUACAUUUAAUAAAUUAUAUUAAUUGUUUUCUAGGAAAAGAAUUGGAUAAUAAUUUUUGUCUCAUUGAAUCGUGGGGGAAAAGAAAUGAGAAGUUGGAUUCUUCUUUUGUUUCUUUUAUUCGUAGAAAAAUAUGAUUAAAAGUCAAUUUUUUCAAACCGUGUGAUAAGGAUGUGGUGGAGAAAAGGAUUUCUUUUAUAUACUUUGAAGAGUAAAACGGCUUGCUGAAAGAGAAACGUGCGCAGUUAAUAUUAAUUCUUCGUAAUGGAAAACAAGCAAUAAACAUGCAAUAAAAUUAAAAAUUCAUUUUCA